rnacentral:rRNA from 1 species
UACGGAGGGUGCAAGCGUUAUCCGGAUUCACUGGGUUUAAAGGGUGCGUAGGCGGACAGGUAAGUCAGUGGUGAAAUCUCUGGGCUUAACCCAGAAACUGCCGUUGAUACUAUUUGUCUUGAAUAUCCUGGAGGUAGGCGGAAUAUGUCAUGUAGCGGUGAAAUGCUUAGAUAUGACAUAGAAUACCUAUUGCGAAGGCAGCUUACUACGCAGAUAUUGACGCUCAUGCACGAAAGCGUGGGGAUCAAACAGG